AUCCCAUUAUAAGGACACUUAUGAAGUAAUUCCUUGAAUCAUUCCUAAGCCUCAUAUAAAGACUCAUCAUCCAAUUGUUGGAAAAUAGUUAUCUCAUUAUGCAACU
rfam:Gossypium hirsutum cultivar TM-1 chromosome 24, whole genome shotgun sequence